GAUGAAGAACGUAGCGAAAUGCGAUAAGUAAUGUGAAUUGCAGAAUUCAGUGAAUCAUCGAAUCUUUGAACGCACCUUGCACCCUUUGGCAUUCCGAAGGGUAUGCUCGUUUGAGUGUCAUUGUACUCUCACACUUCCAAUCUUUGGAUUGGGAGCGGUGGACUUGGGUGUUGCUGCUUACUGUGGCUCACCUCAAACCGAUUCGUGCACCUCUUGGUUGGACAUAGUACGGCGUGAUAAGUGUCUUCGCCGGCACCUCAGUAGAGGGUGGCUGAUCAGGAGCUCUGUGCUUCAAACCGUCCUCGGACAACAACUGACAACUUGACCUCAAAUCGAGUAGGACUACCCGCUGAACUUAAGCAUAUCAAUAAGCGGAGGA
rnacentral:misc_RNA from 1 species